GGGUCCUGCCCUUUUGGGCGUUUCCUCCCUAAUGACUUGGCCGCGCCUCCGGGUGCGGCCUUUUUUUUGGCCCGC
rnacentral:sRNA from 1 species